rnacentral:rRNA from 1 species
AUUGAACGCUGGCGGCAUGCCUUACACAUGCAAGUCGAACGGCAGCACGGGUGCUUGCACCUGGUGGCGAGUGGCGAACGGGUGAGUAAUACAUCGGAACAUGUCCUGUAGUGGGGGAUAGCCCGGCGAAAGCCGGAUUAAUACCGCAUACGAUCUACGGAUGAAAGCGGGGGACCUUCGGGCCUCGCGCUAUAGGGUUGGCCGAUGGCUGAUUAGCUAGUUGGUGGGGUAAAGGCCUACCAAGGCGACGAUCAGUAGCUGGUCUGAGAGGACGACCAGCCACACUGGGACUGAGACACGGCCCAGACUCCUACGGGAGGCAGCAGUGGGGAAUUUUGGACAAUGGGCGAAAGCCUGAUCCAGCAAUGCCGCGUGUGUGAAGAAGGCCUUCGGGUUGUAAAGCACUUUUGUCCGGAAAGAAAUCUUUGGCCCUAAUACGGUCGGGGGAUGACGGUACCGGAAGAAUAAGCACCGGCGAACUACGU